rnacentral:rRNA from 1 species
UACGUAGGUGGAGAGCGUUGUCCGGAAUUACUGGGUGUAAAGCGCGUGUAGGCGGGAGGCCAAGUCUGUGGUGAAAUCGCUCGGCUUAACUGGGCGGGGUCCAUGGAAACUGGUCACCUGGAGGUCGGUAGAGGCAAGUGGAAUUCCCGGUGUAGUGGUGAAAUGCGUAGAGAUCGGGAGGACCACCACUGGCGAACGCGGCUUGCUGGGCCGCUCCUGACGCUGAGACGCGAUAUCCUGGGGAGCGCACAGG